rnacentral:rRNA from 1 species
UGCAAGUCGAGCGCCGUAGCAAUACGGAGCGGCAGACGGGAGAGUAACACGUGGGAACGUGCCCUUCAGUUCGGAACAACCCAGGGAAACUUGGGCUAAUACCGGAUACGUCCGUAAGGAGAAAGAUUUAUCGCUGAAGGAUCGGCCCGCGUCUGAUUAGCUAGUUGGUGGGGUAACGGCCCACCAAGGCGACGAUCAGUAGCUGGUCUGAGAGGAUGAUCAGCCUCACUGGGACUGAGACACGGCCCAGACUCCUACGGGAGGCAGCAGUGGGGAAUAUUGGACAAUGGGCGCAAGCCUGAUCCAGCCAUGCCGCGUGGGUGAUGAAGGCCCUAGGGUUGUAAAGCCCUUUCGGCGGGGAAGAUAAUGACGGUACCCGCAGAAGAAGCCCCGGCUAACUUCGUGCCAGCAGCCGCGGUAAUACGAAGGGGGCUAGCGUUGCUCGGAAUCACUGGGCGUAAAGCGCACGUAGGCGGCUUUUUAAGUCAGGGGUGAAAUCCUGGAGCUCAACUCCAGAACUGCCCUUGAUACUGAGAAGCUUGAGUCCGGGAGAGGUGAGUGGAACUGCGAGUGUAGAGGUGAAAUUCGUAGAUAUUCGCAAGAACACCAGUGGCGAAGGCGGCUCACUGG